rnacentral:snRNA from 1 species
AUACUUAAGUGGAUGGGAAAAUACCAUGAUCACCAGAGUGGUUUUCCCAGGGACAGGGGAUAGCCAGUUUCCUGGGAUAUGGUAGUACCUGCGGAGGUAAUGUAUAGUUUCCCUCCCAUGGUUAUUGCUUGUGGGAGGGUCUUGGCUUUACACCCCUUU